AAGAUUAUGAUGAUGAUGCUUUUAGGGAUGAUGAUGUUGGCAGAAGGAAAGAAUUGUAGGAACUGAUUCUGAAUGGACAGAGAUGUGAGGGUCACUCAUCUAGUACGCCGACAUCAAACACUUCUGAGAGUGAUGGGAUCAGUCUAAGUGAGAUGGGAGUUAUAAGUGUCGUGGUGUUAAUUAUCGUAACAAUAAUGAUGUUGCCUAGUGAGCGCGAGGAAGAAAGGAAUGUGCCUGAUAUCGUCCUACCUGCCAUCGCCCCACCUGUCAUCGCUCCGAGGAGGUCUCAACGAACGAGAAGACAACCAGAUCGAUUUUGUCUUUAAACUCUGUACAAAAG